CCUGCUGGCCAGCGCGGGGUGCUGGUGAUGAAGGCGGCAGUGCGGCACGUGGGCCGUCAGAUCCCGGAGGUAGCGGCUCGAGCCGGCGAUCUGCGGGAGCUCCUUCUGCUUCCACGGGAGGAGCCCAG
rnacentral:SRP_RNA from 8 species